GACGAACGCUGGCGGCGUGCUUAACACAUGCAAGUCGAACGAUGAAGCCGGAGCUUGCUCCGGUGGAUUAGUGGCGAACGGGUGAGUAACACGUGAGCAAUCUGCCCUUGACUCUGGGAUAACUGCGGGAAACUGUAGCUAAUACCGGAUACGACACCUUGGGGCAUCCCAGGGUGUGGAAAGAGUUUCGGUCAAGGAUGAGCUCGAGGCCUAUCAGCUAGUUGGUGAGGUAAUGGCUCACCAAGGCGACGACGGGUAGCCGGCCUGAGAGGGUGACCGGCCACACUGGAACUGAGACACGGUCCAGACUCCUACGGGAGGCAGCAGUGGGGAAUAUUGCACAAUGGGCGAAAGCCUGAUGCAGCAACGCCGCGUGAGGGAUGAAGGCCUUCGGGUUGUAAACCUCUUUUAGCAGGGAAGAAGCGAAAGUGACGGUACCUGCAGAAAAAGCACCGGCUAACUACGUGCCAGCCGCCGCGGUAA
rnacentral:rRNA from 1 species